rnacentral:rRNA from 1 species
UACGUAGGGGGCAAGCGUUGUCCGGAUUUAUUGGGCGUAAAGAGCGUGUAGGCGGCCAGGUAGGUCCGUUGUGAAAACUCGAGGCUCAACCUCGAGACGUCGAUGGAAACCAUCUGGCUAGAGUCCGGAAGAGGAGAGUGGAAUUCCGUGGUAGCGGUGAAAUGCGCAGAUAUCAAGGAGAACACCGAUUGCGAAGGCAGCU